rnacentral:lncRNA from 1 species
GUUGUUUCGUUUAUUUUCAGACAGAGUCUUGCUCUUUCGCCAGGUGCCAGGCUGGAGUGCAGUGGCACGAUCUCGGCUCACUGCAACCUCCACCUCCCAGCUUCAAGCAAUUCUCCUGACUCAGCCUCCCGAGUGGCUGGAACCAUAGGUGCAUGCCACUACGCCCAGCUAACUUUUGGAAUUUAGUAGAGACGGGGUUUCACUAUGUUGGUCAGGAUGGUCUCAAUCUCUUGACCUCGUGAUAUGCCCGCUUCGGCCUCCCAAAAUGCUGGGAUUACAGGCAUGAGCCACUGUGCCCAGCCAAGUGUUGUUUAAAAAAGAAAGUUUCCUUCCAAAACAAGAGUAUUUGGUCCAAGAUAGAAGAAGAAGUCUAUAAAUGUAUCAACAUCCUAGGCUGGGAGAUCUUGAUAAAAUAUUUGAAUAUUGUAUUUUCUUCAUUAUCUAUAUGUACUUCAACACCAACUCUUCAUUAAAAUAUCA